ACACAGUUCACUGCAAACAUUUGAUAAUGAGGCUAAAUAUACUCCCGCGUCGGAGGAGGCGUGGGCGUCCCCGCCCAGGCCCGGGAGACAGAGGCGCUGACCCCGGGACAGAGCCUGGCUUUGUGCGGGAGGCAGACGCGCCCCGCGCGCCGCCCCCGAAACAUUCGCACCCCAUGCUGAGGCGCGCGUCUGGGAGUCCGUGGGCGCCCCGAGAAAUGAAGUUGAAAAUAGCACAGGAGCCCACUAUCACUGUGUGAACAUUUUGUGAAUGAAGACAUGUAUGAAAGGAUGUUUGGAGGCUUCAAGAAACGAAAGCCGAGAGUCUAGCUAGACCAGAGCCAUCCAGCCCAGGAGCGAUGGCCACGUGUGGCCGCUGGACACGAGAGACGUGGCCAGUCCAAACUGUGCAGUGCGGGGCAGUGGAAGCCGUUGGAGGGCCUCAGGCAGGAACACAAGGUGUCGUGGCAGAAAGGAAGAAGGGGCCGGGCACGGUGGCCCACACCCGUCAUCCCAGCACUUUGGGAGGGAGGCCAAGGCAGGAGGAUCGCUUCAAUCCAGGAGUUCAAGAUCAGCCUGGGCAACACAGCAAGACCCCGUCUCUACUAAAACCCUAAAACUUAGCCAGGCUUGGUGGCAUGUGCCUAAGGUCCCAGGUCCUCGGGAGACUAAGGCAGGAGGAUUGCUUAAGCCCAAGAGUUUGAGGCUGCAGUGAACUAUUAUCACACCACUGCACUCAGCCUGGGUGACAGAGUGACUCUGUCUCAAAACUAAAUAAAUAAACAAUAAUUGUGUUAUUCUGUC
rnacentral:lncRNA from 1 species